AGAUUGUGAUGUGGGCACUUGAGAAGCAACUCAUUGAAGUGUCCCCAUGCUUCGAAGAAAAGAUCUCUAUCUCUCUGCUGAAAUGUUUGAAUCUCCCUUCUAAGUUG